UUUUGUUCAAGUUUUUUUUU
rnacentral:sRNA from 1 species